rnacentral:lncRNA from 1 species
GUGGGCUAUGUAAUGUGUUGACUGAUUGACUCUUAGAUAGUUUCUAUCCAUAAAUUUUGUACUCUAAGUUGACUCAUAUAUAUUGAAACACCUAUGUAUUCAGUCACUUUUUGAAUAUAUAUAUAGAUACUUGGACCUUCAAUGAAUGUCUAUGAAUGUGAAUCGAAUUGCUUUUAAUUAUGAGAUAUGAAAAAUAACGUAUAUUUGUGUUGUGAAAU